rnacentral:rRNA from 1 species
CUACUCGGGUAUCUAAUCCUGUUCGCUCCCCACGCUUUCGCUCCUCAGCGUCAGUACAGGCCCAGAGAACCGCCUUCGCCACCGGUGUUCCUCCCGAUAUCUGCGCAUUUCACCGCUACACCGGGAAUUCCAUUCUCCCCUGCCUGCCUCCAGCCGGCCCGUAUCCACUGCACGCCCGGGGUUAAGCCCCGGGAUUUCACAGCAGACGCAACCAGCCGCCUACGAGCUCUUUACGCCCAAUAAUUCCGGACAACGCUUGCGCCCUACGUAUUACCGCGGCUGCUGGCAC